rnacentral:rRNA from 1 species
ACGCUCGACACCUACGGGAGCAGCAGUAGGGAAUCUUCCACAAUGGGCGCAAGCCUGAUGGAGCAACACCGCGUGAGUGAAGAAGGGUUUCGGCUCGUAAAGCUCUGUUGUUGGAGAAGAACGUGCGUGAGAGUAACUGUUCACGCAGUGACGGUAUCCAACCAGAAAGUCACGGCUAACUACGUGCCAGCAGCCGCGGUAAUCUGAGGCGGGCUGGCAAGGC